ensembl:miRNA
CAGGGGUUUGGGGAAGCGGCCGCUGAGUGAGGCGUCGGCUGUGUUUCUCACCGCGGUCUUUUCCUCCCACUCUUG